rnacentral:rRNA from 1 species
CUUCUCCGCCGGCGACCGGCGCACGGGUGAGUAACACGUAUGCAACCUGCCCCUGUCAGGGGGACAACCCGCCGAAAGGCGGGCUAAACCCGCGUACAUGCCACCGGGGCAUCCCGGAGGCAGGAAAGGCUUCGGCCGGACAGGGAUGGGCAUGCGGCGCAUUAGGCAGUAGGCGGGGUAACGGCCCACCUAACCGACGAUGCGUAGGGGUUCUGAGGGGAAGGUCCCCCACACUGGUACUGAGACACGGACCAGACUCCUACGGGAGGCAGCAG